rnacentral:rRNA from 1 species
UACGUAGGGUGCAAGCGUUACUCGGAAUUACUGGGCGUAAAGCGCACGUAGGCGGACCAGCAAGUUAGGGGUGAAAUCCCGGGGCUCAACCCCGGAACUGCCUUUAAAACUGUUGGUCUGGAGGUCGAGAGAGGUGAGUGGAAUUCCGAGUGUAGAGGUGAAAUUCGUAGAUAUUCGGAGGAACACCAGUGGCGAAGGCGGCUCACUGGCUCGAUACUGACGCUGAGGUGCGAAAGCGUGGGGAGCAAACAGG